rnacentral:lncRNA from 1 species
GGAGAGGGAGCCUACCAUAUGGAUGAUGAUAGGAUGGCCAAUGGAGCUUGAUAUAAGACGGUCUUUCAAGUCAGAUCCUAGGAAGCCUAAAUGAAGUUUUGAAGAAUGUUCCGUGUGGACUAUCUUUCUUUCUGAGUGUGAUCUUAACUUGACCUUGAGCAGACAGAACUGGGCUAAUCAGUGGGCUUACCCAUUUGGCUGAGAACCCUGAGGGUGAUGCAUCAAGAUUCAAAGUAC